rnacentral:rRNA from 1 species
GAGGAAGUAAAAGUCGUAACAAGGUUUCCGUAGGUGAACCUGCGGAAGGAUCAUUAUUGAAAUAAAAAUUCAGGCCAGGGAAGAGGUGGUUGUAGCUGGCCUCUAGGGGCAUGUGCACACUUGUCUUUCUCUCUUGCUUGUUUUUUUCAUUCUCUCCACUUGUGCACUGCUUGUAGGCAGUCUGGCACUGUUCAGACUGUCUAUGAUUUUCUUUACAUACAUGAAUAUAUUGUUGUACAGAAUGUGAUAGUAAUAAAAAGAGUAAUACAACUUUCAACAACGGAUCUCUUGGCUCUCGCAUCGAUGAAGAACGCAGCGAAAUGCGAUAAGUAAUGUGAAUUGCAGAAUUCAGUGAAUCAUCGAAUCUUUGAACGCAUCUUGCGCUCCUUGGUAUUCCGAGGAGCAUGCCUGUUUGAGUGUCAUUAAAUUCUGUCAAAACAUGCACUUGAGUGUGUGUUUUGGAUUGUGGGAGUGUCUGCUGGCUUAUUCUAUAUAUGAGCCAGCUCUCCUGAAAAACAUUAGCUUUGGGGGGAUGUGCCAAGUCACUUCUGCCUUUCCAUUGGUGUGAUAGAUGAAUAAACUUAUCUACGCCAGGAAAGCAGGUUGCAGGUGAAGCACAGUGAUCUCUCUGCUCUCUAAUUGACAUUUGUCUGAUAACUUGACCUCAAAUCAGGUAGGACUACCCGCUGAACUUAAGCAUAUCA